rnacentral:rRNA from 1 species
CGUGAGGAAACGAUGCUUAAGUCUUGCUGGAAAGGAGCGCCAUGGAGGGUGAUAGCCCCGUCUAGCAUUGACCUCAUAUAGGAUCUUAACAUGGAGUCGAGUUGUUUGGGAAUGCAGCUCAAAUGGGUGGUAUGCUCCAUCUAAAGCUAAAUAUCUGCGAGAGACCGAUAGUAAACAAGUACUGUGAGGGAAAGAUGAAAAGAACUUUUGAAAAGAGAGUGAAAAAGUACGUGAAAUUGUGGAAAUGGAAGGGUAGGCCGCUAACCAUGUAGAGCCGUGUUU